GCGGCGAGUGGCGAACGGGUGAGUAAUGUAUCGGAACGUGCCCAGUAGCGGGGGAUAACUACGCGAAAGCGUAGCUAAUACCGCAUACGCCCUAAGGGGGAAAGCAGGGGAUCGUAAGACCUUGCACUAUUGGAGCGGCCGAUAUCGGAUUAGCUAGUUGGUGGGGUAACGGCUCACCAAGGCGACGAUCCGUAGCUGGUUUGAGAGGACGACCAGCCACACUGGGACUGAGACACGGCCCAGACUCCUACGGGAGGCAGCAGUGGGGAAUUUUGGACAAUGGGGGCAACCCUGAUCCAGCCAUCCCGCGUGUGCGAUGAAGGCCUUCGGGUUGUAAAGCACUUUUGGCAGGAAAGAAACGUCGCGGGCUAAUACCCCGUGGAACUGACGGUACCUGCAGAAUAAGCACCGGCUAACUACGUGCCAGCAGCCGCGGUAAUACGUAGGGUGCAAGCGUUAAUCGGAAUUACUGGGCGUAAAGCGUGCGCAGGCGGUUCGGAAAGAAAGAUGUGAAAUCCCAGAGCUUAACUUUGGAACUGCAUUUUUAACUACCGAGCUAGAGUGUGUCAGAGGGAGGUGGAAUUCCGCGUGUAGCAGUGAAAUGCGUAGAUAUGCGGAGGAACACCGAUGGCGAAGGCAGCCUCCUGGGAUAACACUGACGCUCAUGCACGAAAGCGUGGGGAGCAAACAGGAUUAGAUA
rnacentral:rRNA from 1 species